GAGCAUCUCUUGGGGCUGGGCUGCUUCCAGAGGAGUGCUGUAUGGCCACAGAGCUCCUUCACCAGUUGGAUGGAAUACCACUGACUUUGGUGUUGCAUAGUCCCAGUUGCUUCAGCGGUACGUUGAUUGCUGAAAUGUGACCAAGAUGUCUUUGCUCAGAGUUCAUCCACCUGGAGCUUACAUCAGCGAAAUGAACAGUCCACAAAGGUUUGCCAGAGUCAACAACAGGAAAGCAGAGAAAAGGAGGUCAGCCCAACAAUUCACGCAACAAGGCUUCAGUAGUGGCUGUGGAUACUGUAACCACCCCAGUGAAGACAGUGGGUAGGAAACUCCUUCCUCAUUACCUGAGCAGGUUUUGCUGUGAAAGACUUCUUAAAGACCUAAACUCUCCUUUGCAAAAGUUCUUGCAAAAGUGCCAAACGCUGAGAAGGUCUGUUUUGGACAUAGUUUCAUACUUCCCUCCUGCCUGAGUCCUGUCUGGCCUCUUUCCUUUCCUGAAACCUGUAACAUUAUACUAAAUGAAAUAUAGGUGUACCGGUAAUGUUACUGGUCAGUUUUUCACAAGCCUCAGACUUGCUUCACAAACCAGUGCAGAAAUCACUGUUUUGUGAACAUCGCUGUUCUAUUGCUG